rnacentral:lncRNA from 1 species
AAAUCGACUUGGCUAUGGAAUUGUUACGAGAUCGGGCUCGGAGAUACUCGAGAUCUUAUGACAGUCCUAGUCGAGUUAUCCUGAGCUAUGAGUUUGUUCGUGUCGUAGAUAUUGAGCAUUACGAGCUCAUAAGCAAGGGGAAUAAAUAUGUUCUGUCUGAGCACAUGCUAGAUUGGGUGAUUGGGCUACAGCUAAGGUGCAGAAAGCCGUGGACGGAUUGUACACAUAUGUAUAUUCCAGUGAUCGCGAACUCACUGUUUUUCAGUGGAAAUCGUAUUUGCUGAUUCCACUAUGUAUGUGUACUACUCUGAUCAUAGCUGUCUGAUACAAAGUCAACUGGAGCAAAUACUGGAGCCAAUGGCUGUGAUCGUGCCCAUGAUGGCUAGUCAUGCGAUGAUUCGAGUAAAUGACAGAUUAGCCAUUGUGCGGAACAUGACAACGGCAAGACAAGAAAGAUUGUAAGGAUUUAAAACUUUUUAAUUUUAAGAUUUAAUUUUCAGUUAUAUGUUAUCGAAUUAAUAUAUUCUUCUUCGGUUGCAGAGGCAACUGUGGCUUAUUUGCAAUAAAUUAUAUAGAGUUUUUUAGCAUUGGUCGCAAUGUUGAUACAAUAAAUCAGUCUUGGAUUGAUAUGUGGAGGCAUAAAUUAGCUUGCAACUUGUAUGAAUAAAACUGUGAUCCUUAGUGUAUUGUAUAUUAUUUUAUUGAAAUGUAAAUGUUGUUUACUUCAGUAUGAUUCGUGUUGUA